AGUAUAGGAUAACAGAAUUUUGUAUUUAGGGGUAAAAUCCAAUUAGUUACGAAGGAAUGCCGUUCGCGAAGGCGGUUAUCUAGACUAUGAACUGACGUUGAGGAACGAAAGCAUAGGGAUCAAACAGGAUUAGAUACCCUGGUAGUCUAUGCAGUCAAAGAUGAGUGCUACUGUUGGGAAAUUUCCUGGCAGACAGCUAACGCGUUAAGCACUCCGCCUGGGAAGUACGAUCGCAAGAUUGGAACUCAAAGGAAUUGACGGGGGUCUACACAAGUGGUGGAGCAUGUGGUUUAAUGCGAUAAUACGCGCAAAAUCUUACCAGUUCUUG
rnacentral:rRNA from 1 species